rnacentral:rRNA from 1 species
AUUUUCAGCGAUGGAUGUCUUGGCUCGCGCAACGAUGAAGGACGCAGUGAAGUGCGAAACGCAAUGUGAAUUGCAGAAUUCAGGGAAUCAUCAGAUUUCUGAACGCAAAUGGCACCUU